GAUGAAGAACGUAGCGAAAUGCGAUAAGUAAUGUGAAUUGCACAAUUCAGUGAAUCAUCGAAUCUUUGAACGCACAUUGCGCCCGCGAGUAUUCUCGCGGGCAUGCCUGUCCGAGCGUCAUUUCAACCCUCAGGGCCCGCCUGCUUCGGCAGGCGCGGCGCUGGUGUUGGGGAUCGGCCUAACCGCCGUCCCCCAAAUACAGUGGCGGUCUCGCUGCAGCCUCCCCUGCGUAGUAGCAACACUCGCAUGCGGAGCGCGGCGCGGCCACGCCGUAAAACCCCCGACUUUCUGAACGUUGACCUCGGAUCAGGUAGGAAUACCCGCUGAACUUAAGCAUAUCAAUAAGCGGAGGA
rnacentral:misc_RNA from 1 species